rnacentral:misc_RNA from 1 species
AAACUUUUGAAUAGAGUGUCUCUCGUUUUCAUUUGACUUUUUUGGUGCUUUUUAUACAAGUUUCCAUUUUAAUGUUUUUCUUAUAUUCUUAUUUAUGGACAGGUUGACAGACAGACAAACAAAUUAUGACUUACAGAAUGACAUUCCGAUGACACAUGACAAUUUGGUAGCUAACCCUGCUAAUACAAAACUGUUACAAUUUACAGGGGAAAAAAAAACCUGUAAUCCAUCAAAACUCAGAAUUGUGUUAUUUGAAUCACAAUAAAGAAAGUUUUUACUGU